UACGUAGGGGGCAAGCGUUAUCCGGAUUUACUGGGUGUAAAGGGAGCGUAGACGGCAAUACAAGUCGGAAGUGAAAUACCCGGGCUCAACCUGGGAACUGCUUUGGAAACUGUAUGGCUGGAGUGCUGGAGAGGUAAGCGGAAUUCCUAGUGUAGCGGUGAAAUGCGUAGAUAUUAGGAGGAACACCAGUGGCGAAGGCGGCUUACUGGACAGUAACUGGCGUUGAGGCUCGAAAGCGUGGGGAGCAAACAGG
rnacentral:rRNA from 1 species